rnacentral:rRNA from 1 species
CAGUGGGGAAUAUUGCACAAUGGGCGCAAGCCUGAUGCAGCCAUGCCGCGUGUAUGGAAGAAGGCCUUCGGGUUGUAAAGUACUUUCAGCAGUGAGGAAGGUGGUGUCGUUAAUAGCGGCAUCAUUUCGACGUUAGCUGCAGAAGAAGCACCGGCUAACUCCGUGCCAGCAGCCGCGGUAAUACGGAGGGUGCGAGCGUUAAUCGGAAUUACUGGGCGUAAAGCGCAUGCAGGUGGUUUGUUAAGUCAGAUGUGAAAGCCCGGGGCUCAACCUCGGAAUUGCAUUUGAAACUGGCAGACUAGAGUACUGUAGAGGGGGUAGAAUUUCAGGUGUAGCGGUGAAAUGCGUAGAGAUCUGAAGGAAUACCGGUGGCGAAGGCGGCCCCCUGGACAGAUACUGACACUCAGAUGCGAAAGCGUGGGGAGCAAACAGGAUUAGAUACCCUGGUAG